UACGUAGGGUGCGAGCGUUGUCCGGAAUUACUGGGCGUAAAGGGCUCGUAGGUGGCCAACUAAGUCAGACGUGAAAUCCCUCAGCUUAACUGGAGAACUGCGUCUGAUACUGGAUGGCUUGAGUUUGGGAGAGGGAUGCGGAAUUCCAGGUGUAGCGGUGAAAUGCGUAGAUAUCUGGAGGAACACCGGUGGCGAAGGCGGCAUCCUGGACCAAUACUGACACUGAGGAGCGAAAGCCAGGGGAGCAAACGGG
rnacentral:rRNA from 1 species